CACUGGCAAAGACUGGCUGGACUAGGACAGAUGGGGACAGGGGAGUCUGGGCACGGGUGACCAGGGAGGAGAGGGGGCUGCAUGAGGGGGCGGGGUCACAGGGGUCUUCAUCCACUAAGGCUGCUUUCCUCUGCAGAUCCAAGCUUACGAUCCUACACUCUGGGUGUGAGGCUGAGAUUGCACCCUCAUUCCAGGACCCUGGGGCUCUGAGGAUGUUGGCUUUAAGAAGGUGCAUGUGUGUCGUGGGCUUCAGAGAGCACCAGUGCUGUCUAUCUAGGGGAUGUGGGGCACUCACGUGAGCCCUCUUCUCCUGAUCUUCUCACCCCAUCUACCCUCUGCACAUCAGGCACCAGCCCAGGCCCAGGCCCAAGGUCUUCCUCCACAGCCACCAUCCAGUGUGGUAAGCAGACACGCAUGUCCUUGGAGAGAUGUGCUUUGUGCUAGUACACUGCUCAGUUAGAUCUCACAGAACCAGACUGUCCCCGAAGCACAGAUGUGGUAGAAAUCCUCUCACUCAGAGCAAAUGGCCCCAAAUCAGUGUAGAUGGUGUGGUGAUUUUUGUUCUGAGUGAAGUUCUACUAGGCAUAAAUCACCAUUUCCCGACAGAGCUGUAUUUGUCUUUUCUCAUUUUUCAUCUCUCAGGGAUAGCAAAGAGAGGGGUAUAUUUAUAUCAAACGAGUGUUCCACAGGAAGUUCUCAGAUGGAACAGGAUGAUUGUGUGGACGUGGAAGGGAACUGCCGCAGACUGCAUGUGCAUCCCAGGUUGUACCAGGACACACUGCUUAAGCUCGAGUGCACCUGAGCGCUUUCCUAUCCCGUCUUUCCACUCGUCCAUUUCCAUUAUACCUCUUCUCCUCAGAUCUCCACCCAGGGGAGCAAUGGAACAGAAUAACUGCAGCAUACUGCCCAGAGCUGGGGAGUGGGUGGCAGGACCAUGAGGUUCGAGUUUUCCUCUGGCACCUUGGAAAUUUCACAUUUUAUAUCAAGAUUCCCCUGAAUUAAAAGUUAGAUAUCUGCCGUUCUUACAGAUUUGGUUCCCUAGAGUCUUGAUCGCAACUGAGAUGCCCUGUAUAGUGUCAGACUGAGAGGGAAUUACUUAAAUUAAAAUGUAACAAUAGGUCCAUAGAUACCUUAG
rnacentral:lncRNA from 1 species